UGCUGCUUAAAAGGCCUUGUCUAUUUGUGGGGGGACAUGGAUUUAUGUCGGCUUCUUUAUGUUAUCACUUCAGUGUGGCAGUUUAGUGAGGGGGUUGCAUGUGUUUUGAUUUCAGCAACUGUGGUGUCAUUAGAGGUGGUUUGUACACUGAACAUUGAGGGGGAUUUAUUGAUCAUGGUAUGACUAGAGGUGGUUUGUACCCUGGGUACAAACUGCUGCUUAAGAUUGAUACUCAAACCAAGAAGAAAUUAAAACAACCAGCUCCACAUUUUUCACUUGUCUCUGGGUCUCUCAUACAGAUGUGAGGAUGGAAGGAGGAGACAGAGCCUGUUGCAUUAAUUAGAUCAGAAGCCUGUGAUUGUUCUAACGCAUUUCUAGCUCAGUACCCAUCUGACACAGGUGACUGCAGAAGCAGUGGACGUUAUGUGUAUACUAAUUGAGGAAUCAAAUGACUCCGUUCCCUGUAAACUUGACCUGUUCACAGCACUGGCUCUGCAGGAUUUUUGUGCUCUGUGGUAUAACUUGUUGUUUUGAACAAGUGACUGUUGAUAUUCACUGUGAGGUUCUAUCUGUCAUAGCAAGGAAAAAACUCUUUUGCUCGCUGGAUUUCCUUUUUCGUGCUUGGAAGGCUGCUGAACCUUGGUAAUGAAGCUCCUUGUAACCAGCACAGGUUUGGUACAGACAAGGCCAGCUCUUCUGUGAACUUGAAUAAACCCACCUCCAGUCGUGCUAACAUGCUUCAGGUGUAGAGCAUGCUUCUUGCUAAAUAGCCACUGGUGGUAUUUGAGGAACCAGACCAUGUGUCUGAUGGAGAAACCACCUGUAUAUUUCACUUGUCAUGUACAAGUGAACAACCCAUUCUCAUUUGCCACUGUUCUUUGUUGCAGUUAGUGUAUAGAAAUGCCUGUGGUACUUGGACAUGCACUAGUUAGAGUAAAGGCUAGAAUCACCUAUUAGUGAAUUAUCACAAGAUCUCCAUGUAUAACAGCACACAGAUUAGAGGCUGGUUUAUUAGCUUUGCUAAGUUGUGCUUGCUGCCCUACAAUCUUUUGGGUUUCUCUGAGAUGUGGAAGUAAUUAGGAACUGCACUGGCUCUAGUUCAUUCCUUCUUGCUGGUGGAUGUCUCAGAGGAUAAAAUUAGAUCAGCAGGAGAAACUCCUUGCAUUCCUUGCUGAGCCUUACAGAGAAGCUGAGGGAUGGAAGCCUUAACAAAUGUGGAUAUUGGCUGUGCUGUAUUUGACAUACUUAAAGCUAUUGCACAUUCUUUACUGUUCUUUUUAUAAAUCUUCUGGCAGGAAGCCUGAGCAAAUGGCCCAGCUGGAGUUACUGAUUGUAGCUCCCAGAAGCCAUAUUUGUUGAGAUCCAGUGCCUGCUGCUUGCCUUGCAUUGCUCAGUUGGAACAACUCCCCCCCAUUUCACUCCUUGCUCAGUCCUUACUUGUUUUCUGGCAGCCUCGACCAGCAGUGCUCCUGUGGAAUGGGAAUCUGGACAAGGCCAUUAAGCACAAACAGCAGCUGAUCAAACCCAUGUUUGUGUUGGGUUUCGUGCCUCAGUGCCUGUCUUUUAUCCUCAGUAGAACUGAUAAUGUGGACAGCUCCAUGUUUGGUAGGCUGAAGGGUGCUGACCUGGCAUGCAGAGCAGGAUUUUCUUUGUAGAAACGCAUGGAGGAGACUAUACAGCCUGACACCCAGUAGAUCAUGAUAUUGGUGAGCAGAUCAUCCAGGUGAAACUUCCUGAAUAGUAUCAGGCUUUGUAGCCUGUAUGUGAGCGUAGCCAGACUCCAUCAAGAUCUUGUAGACUCCUUUCUUUAAGAAGGGAAACAUCCGCCUGACAUCUUCAUCCUGGAAACCAAAGAGCCCUGGAAGAUAGCGGCCCAGCAGGAUGGAGAGCAGGGCACACAGGAUCUUUGUUUCUAGACUGGGAAAAACAGUGCCAGGAGUUACUGUUCUGCUAAUGGGGUUUAUCUCACUGUGAGACUAGGCUUAUGCUCAGUUUCUUCUCACAGAUCAUACCUUUUUUGUGGGGUGCUUCUGAAAAACCAUAACCAGGGAUAGAUGGACAAAUGACUUCAAAAACGUGUUCGUCACUGAGGCCGUGGCUGGCAGGAUCCGUCAGGAGAGGGAUGAUUUUGUAAAACUCAUAGAAUGAGCCAGGCCAGCCAUGAACCAUUAACAGUGGCUUUGCAGACUGGCCUUCAGGCAGACGAGGAGGCUUCACAUGAACAAAAUGGAUAUCAAUGCCUGUAUAAAGAAAGUCAGUCAUUAACAUGCCCAGAUUUCCCAUGACACUGAAACUCAGCACAGAACAGAGCAUGAAUAAAGCUUCUCUGAAGUCCUUUUUUUUGGUGAGUAUCCAGACACUGUGCUUCUCUGGAUCCAUUUAGCCAAGGACCUCAAAGUACUUUAUAAUGAGGAAUUAAGCACCACAGCAGCCAAAUGAGGUCGGCAUCUUUCUGUUUUAAAAUGAAUUGGCAAAUUAAGGCACAGAAGUGAAGCAAUCUCCUAACGGUAACACAGUGACUCACACAGCUUAAAGGCAGAGGAGGUGAUAACAUCAUUUAGUCCAAGCACCCUUAAAUUUUACCCGAAUGUUGCUCUAUGGCACCAGAUAGGCUUCAGCCCACCGCAGAUUACACUUCUUGCACUCGGUUGCAACUUGGAGGCACCAAGAGACAGAGAAUUCCUCAUAACCAGCAGCUCUUUGUUUCGGGUCUUAAUCACUUCCCUUGUUUUGUGCAUCAUUUAAACGUGUCUGGAUUCUGUCUCCAGCCAUUGAUCUGAGCUUUACAGCAAAAGGAAUGUAAAAAGCCUUCAGCAAGUAUUCUCUGCCUGUGGAGGCCUCCUGUAAUCAAAUCACACAACUGCUUGAUAAACCAACCAUGCCGAAUCAAGGAUCUGAAACAAUGCCAUGCUGAAAGAGAGUUAAAGUGUUCAAUUCUGUAGCUCUUCUCCACCUUUUGGCCAAAGUUUUCAGUGUCUCUUUGUAUAAACCAAAACAGGAAACUGUGUUCUAGUUCCAGUCUCCUCAUUGUUAAGUAAAAAGGUAAAAAUUGCAGACCCAUUUCCUUUGUGAUCAUCACAAUACAACCAGUAGGUCUCACACAGCUUGCACUAGUUGAGGUGAACUGCUCUUCCUCAGACCUAUUCAGGGCUUUGCUUUCCAGGAAAUAGUAAUUUGCUCUUAGUAGAGCCUGAAUGCCUCAGUUCUUGAUGUAUUUAAGCACAUUUUGCUCUCCUGAGCUCCAGCUCACCAGCAAUCCCACCCUUUCACUGACAGAUUUCCCCAUCUUUGACAACUCUGUGGAUUUCUGUAUUCUCUGAAGAACUUUCAAGUGAUGACAGAAGCUGGGAAUCUGCUAUGCAGCAUGUUUGAUCUUGCCUUUUCAUGUCUCAUCUCUGUAAUCAUUCCUAGUGUUGAAAUUUCUCUUCCUAUUGCUAUACAUAGAGCACGGUCUUUUGCUUCUUUUCCCUUUCUUGUCUCACAUGAUGGUUUUUCCACUUUAAAUAAAAUCUUUAUGUUUUAA